UAUCAUUUCAAAAUGAACCUAUUAAGAAUUGUCGGAGCAACAUUUAUGCUACUUCUACUCUUUUCGUGCGCAACUGUUGAAUCUUUCGAAAGACCUUUUUCAGUACGUGAUGUACUAAAUUGUGGCUUUUGUUGUGGAGGUGCCCCAGGUGACGGAACGUGCAGUAAAUGUUAUUGUACAUCGAGAGCAGGAGCGCCAUGAUGAAUCGUAAGAAAAAUGAUCUUGCCGAAUCCUGAUACACAUCUG